GGCGAACGCUGGCGGCGUGCUUAACACAUGCCAGUCGAACGGAAAGGCCCUGCUUUUGUGGGGUGCUCGAGUGGCGAACGGGUGAGUAACACGUGAGUAACCUGCCCUUGACUUUGGGAUAACUUCAGGAAACUGGGGCUAAUACCGGAUAGGAGCUCCUGCUGCAUGGUGGGGGUUGGAAAGUUUCGGCGGUUGGGGAUGGACUCGCGGCUUAUCAGCUUGUUGGUGGGGUAGUGGCCUACCAAGGCUUUGACGGGUAGCCGGCCUGAGAGGGUGACCGGCCACAUUGGGACUGAGAUACGGCCCAGACUCCUACGGGAGGCAGCAGUGGGGAAUAUUGCACAAUGGGCGGAAGCCUAAUGCAGCAACGCCGCGUGCGGGAUGACGGCCUUCGGGUUGUAAACCGCUUUCGCCUGUGACGAAGCGUGAGUGACGGUAAUGGGUAAAGAAGCACCGGCUAACUACGUG
rnacentral:rRNA from 1 species